rnacentral:lncRNA from 1 species
AUCAGCCAGUGGGAGAGGAAGAGGAGAUUUGUUGCAACCUUGAGGAUUUCUUUACGUUGCUGUGAAAACCUGGAUGUUGGGGGCUCUGUCUGUGUAUCGUAGACGGAGUUUUGAAUUGCUCCAGUGAAACACAAGUAUUUUACCUUACGCUGUCAACCUGCUGGGGGAAGCGUGAAGACAGUUUAACCUUCUGGCUCCGGUAAUCAUCUUGUCUCAGAGACCUCGGAGAGCUCCCAGAGCCUGGCUGCCACGGUGGUUCUAUAUACCCUCCAGCCCUGGCCUGCCUUGGGACACCCCUCUCCGCCUGCCGGCCCCAGAAUUUCCCCACACACGCGGUCAUCACAGCCCGAGAUGUUUAAUGACGGCUUCAUGCACCAGGCUAUUGCCCUAAACACGGGUGACAGGCCAAACACACACUAAUUACCUAACUCAAUUCAAGCCCGCCUGGCCCCGUGGAAAGGCUGAGCUGGGGAUGCACGCAGGUGCCCCGUCGUUACCUCCGGAUGUCAAAUUGAAGUGAGGUUUUCCCGCAUGAGCGGGGAGAGCUGUUUCUACGCACCAAGAUUUCCACGGUUUGCAGGAGAAAGAGUUUUGUGUCUGCCCUCUGGACAGCCCUGUCA